rnacentral:rRNA from 1 species
AGCGAACGCUGGCGGCAGGCCUAACACAUGCAAGUCGAACAGACCCUUCGGGGUUAGUGGCGGACGGGUGAGGAAUACGUAGGAAUCUGCCCUUAAGUGGGGGAUAACCAGGGGAAACCCUGACUAAUACCGCAUGAUCUCUUCGGAGCAAAGAGGGGGACCGCAAGGCCUCUCGCUUCUGGAUGAGCCUACGUCUGAUUAGCUAGUUGGUAGGGUAAAGGCCUACCAAGGCGACGAUCAGUAACUGGUCUGAGAGGAUGAUCAGUCACACCGGAACUGAGACACGGUCCGGACUCCUACGGGAGGCAGCAGUGGGGAAUAUUGGACAAUGGGCGCAAGCCUGAUCCAGCAAUGCCGCGUGUGUGAAGAAGGCCUUCGGGUUGUAAAGCACUUUAGCCUGGAAAGAAAAAACUUUGGUUAACACCCAAAGUCUUGACGGUACCAGGAGAAUAAGCACCGGCUAACUCUGUGCCAGCCGCCGCGGUAACAC